rnacentral:rRNA from 1 species
ACGAGUGGUGCAGGCGUUAUUCGGAAUCAUUGGGCGUACAGGGCGUGUAGGUGGUAUGUUAAGUCUGUUGUUAAAGACUCGAGCCUAACUGGGGAAUGGCAAUGGAAACUGGUGUACUAGAGGGUGGAAGAGAGAAGUGGAAUUCUCGGUGUAGCGGUGAAAUGCGUAGAUAUCGGGAGGAACACCGAUGGCGAAGGCAGCUUCCUGGUCCAUACCUGACACUGAGGCGCGAAAGCGUGGGGAGCAAACAG